AUUGAACGCUGGCGGCAGGCCUAACACAUGCAAGUCGAACGAGUGGCGGACGGGUGAGUAAUGUCUGGGAAACUGCCUGAUGUAGGGGGAUAACUACUGGAAACGGUAGCUAAUAACGCAUACCAUCGGAUGUGCCCAGAUGGGAUUAGCUAGUAGGUUGGGUAAAGGCUCAACUAGGCGCCGAUCCCUAGCUGGUCUGAGAGGAUGACCAGCCACACUGAAACUGAGACACGGUCCAGACUCCUACGGAAGGCAGCAGUGGGGAAUAUUGCACAAUGGGCGCAAGCCUGAUGCAGCCAUGCCGCGUGUAUGAAGAGGGCCUUAGGGUUGUAAGGUACUUUCAGCGGGGAGGCGUUACCCGCAGAAGAAGCACCGGCUAACUCCGUGCCAGCAGCCGCGGUAAUAC
rnacentral:rRNA from 1 species